rnacentral:rRNA from 1 species
CCUACGGGAUGCAGCAGUGAGGAAUAUUGGUCAAUGGACGGAAGUCUGAACCAGCCAUGCCGCGUGAAGGAAGACGGCUCUAUGAGUUGUAAACUGCUUUUGUACAAGGGUAAACCUGAAUACGUGUAUUCAGCUGAAAGUACUGUACGAAUAAGGAUCGGCUAACUCCGUGCCAGAAGCCGCGGGAAUACGGAGGAUCCAAGCGUUAUCCGGAUUUAUUGGGUUUAAAGGGUGCGUAGGUGGAUUGAUAAGUUAGAGGUGAAAUGUCCGAGCUUAACUCGAGAACUGCCUCUAAUACUGGUGAUCUGGAGUGUAGAUGCGGUAGGCGGAAUGUAUGGUGUAGCGGUGAAAUGCUUAGAGAUCAUACAGAACGCCGAUUGCGAAGGCAGCUUACCAAUCUAUAUCUGACGUUGAGGCACGAAAGCGUGGGGAGCAAACAGGAUUAGAUACCCUGGUAGUC